CUCACUUAACUCUCCAGCCGAAUCCUCCCUUCUCUCUUUCUUUCCCUUUUGUUCUCCAGUCCUCUCCAAUCUCCAGCAGACCUGUCGGCGGGAGUAAGCCUGCACCUAAGGGGGGAAGUUGGACAUUCGAAACACCGGCGCGCCUCUUGUUGACCUUUCCUCAGGAGAGUUUGAUAUUAGCACCUUGCAGGGGAGAAACCUGUUGGUUAAGAUGGAAGUACGCAAAGAGAAUCGGAAUAUAAGAGAUAACCACCGUCGCUUGCUCGCAGAGAAAUUUGAAUUGAAGCGAAACCUUUACAAGGCACUGGUUAGAGAUCCCACACUUCCUCAGGAGAUGCGUGAGCUACAUGCAUAUAAGCUGGCCAAGUUGCCAAGGAACAGUUCCUUUACACGAGUGAGAAACCGAUGUGUUUUCACUGGUCGUCCUCGUGGUGUUUAUCAGCUGUUUAGGAUGUCUCGUCUUGUUUUCCGUUCAUUGGCAAGCCAAGGUCUGUUGGAGGGCAUAAGGAAGGCGUCCUGGUAACCCAGAUUAACAGGACAUGGAUUGGAUUGACUCACAGCUAGUGUUGCUCGAGCCAAGGAUGUAAUGGGUUAUAUCCUUAACUUGGAGUAUUGUCUUGUUAAAUAUAUCAUGCAGUUUCCAGUUUUGACUUGAGAAAAUGUUUUGUUGGUGGUGCUUUUGAUUUUAGAAUAAAGAUGGGUCCUGUUCUUAUAUUUUCUAUCUGUAGCAUUUGGAAUUGAUUUGUGCAUAACCUUCAAAUUUUUGCGUUUGACAAAAUUCUAGACUAUUCUUUCAU